CGCACCUUGCGCUCCUUGGUAUUCCGAGGAGCAUGCCUGUUUGAGUGUCAUGUAUUCCUCAAUCUUCUUGGAUUUUAUUCAAGACAGAUUGGAUGUGGAGGUUGCUGUUGAACUUUCAACAGCUCUUCUGAAAUGCAUUAGUGUGGAUGUUACUAAACGUUCUCCAGUGUAAUAAUUAUUUGCGCUGCUAGAGCCUUGGUAGAAUAUUGUUCACGCUUCAAACCGUCUGCUUGCAGACAAUAUACUUUGCGUUUGACCUCAAAUCAGGUAGGAUUACCCGCUGAACUUAA
rnacentral:misc_RNA from 1 species